AGCGGCGGAGCAGCUCCGCGGCGGUGGAGCUGGGGGACCGGGGACGUGGGAGCGCGACGACACGGGCUCGUUCCUCCGCGUUCGCGAUGGAGUUUGCGGUUGGAGCGCGGGAGAGGGGCUGUCGCAGGGCGGGUCCACGGGCUGCGCGUCGCUCACGGAGUCCUUUUCUUUAAAAGAAAGAAAAAAAACAAGAAACCCGCUGCUGCUCGUAUAAUAACGCCGAGAAAUUAAGAUCAAAAGCACAGAACACAAUAAAUGCACGAUGAAGAAGCAGUUCAACCGCAUGCGGCAGCUCGCCAACCAAACCGUGGGCAGGGCUGAGAAAACAGAAGUGUUGAGUGAAGAUCUGCUGCAGGUGGAGAAGCGACUGGAGCUGGUCAAGCAGGUGUCCCACAGCACCCACAAAAAGCUGACCGCCUGCCUGCAGGGCCAGCAAGGGGCAGACAUCGACAAGCGGUCCGUCAGAUCACCCUCUAAAAAGCUGCCGCUCACAACGCUGGCUCAGUGCCUGGUGGAGGGCGCCGCUGUGCUGGGGGACGAAUCUCUCCUGGGGAAGAUGCUGAAGCUGUGCGGGGAGACGGAGGACAGGCUGGCCCAGGAGCUCAUCCUCUUUGAGUUUCAGGUUGAGCGGGACGUCAUCGAGCCACUCUACAUGCUCGCCGAGGUGGAGAUCCCCAACAUACAGAAACAGAGGAAACACCUAGCGAAGCUCGUCUUGGACAUGGACUCUGCCCGCACGCGAUUGCAGCAGUCCUCGAAGACUUCGGGGCUGUCCAGCAACCCACAGUUAGGGGGCACCAAGGCUGAUGCCCUCAGAGAAGAGAUGGAAGAGGCAGCCAACCGGAUGGAGAUCUGCAGGGAUCAGUUAUCAGCGGAUAUGUACAGCUUUGUGGCCAAAGAAAUCGACUAUGCAAACUACUUCCAGACGCUAAUAGAGAUCCAAGCCGAGUACCACAGGAAGUCCUUGGAGCUCCUCCAGGGGGUCCUGCCGCAGAUCAAAGCCCACCAGGAGGCCUGGGUGGAGAAGCCAUGCUAUGGGAAGCCUCUGGAGGAACAUCUGGCCAUCAGUGGGAGAGAGAUCGCCUUCCCCAUCGAGGCCUGUGUCACCAUGCUGCUGGAGUGCGGCCUGCAGGAGGAGGGUUUAUUCAGGGUGGCCCCGUCUACCUCCAAGCUAAAAAAACUCAAGGCGUCUCUGGACUGCGGUGUGCUGGACGUGCACGAGUAUUCUACUGACCCUCACGCCAUUGCAGGAGCACUGAAGUCCUACCUGCGUGAGCUCCCCGAGCCGCUCAUGACAUUUGACCUCUACGAUGAGUGGAUCCAAGCUUCCAACGUUCAGGACCAAGACAAGAGACUCCAAGCUCUACUGAUAGCCUGUGAGAAGCUUCCCAAGGCUAACAGAAAUAACUUCAGAUACUUAAUCAAAUUCUUGGCCAAGCUGAACGAGUACCAGGAUGUGAACAAGAUGACGGCAGGGAACAUGGCUAUUGUGUUGGGUCCGAACCUGCUGUGGUCGAACACAGAUGGGAACAUCACGGAGAUGAUGACCACUGUGUCUCUCCAGAUCGUGGGUAUCAUUGAGCCCAUAAUUCAGCAUGCUGACUGGUUCUUCCCUGGAGAAAUUGAGUUCAAUGUGACAGGCAACUAUGGCAGUCCCAUUCACACCAACCACAAUGCCAACUACAGCUCCAUGCCCUCGCCUGACAUGGACCACUCAGAACGAAAACACGACCAGGGCCGGCGCCCGCUAAGCGUUGCCACGGACAACAUGAUGUUGGAAUUCUACAAGAAGGACGGCAUUAGGAAGAUACAAAGUAUGGGCGUUCGAGUGAUGGACACAUCUUGGGUGUCGCGCCGGGGCUCAUCUGGAGCCCGCAAGGCCUCCUCCUCCUCCUCCUCCUCCUCCACUGCCCCGAGCGCGCAGCCCCCUACCCCACCCACUGACUCGCUCAUCCCCGAGCAGCCGGACGAGACGUCCGCUUCCCCAGGCCCCACUCCUCCUCCCGUUAGCUCCGACCGGGCCAGCUCAGACGAUGCGUCGUCCAAUUGGUCGGACUCCUGUUACGCCUACCCUUCCCCGGAGGAGGAAAGACCGCCCCCACCCUACCCCUCCUUGCCCUCCUACCCCACCCCUCACCAUUACUACCCCAGAGCACCUCCCUGCACGAGGCCCGUCGCCCGAGGCCCCGAGUCGAUGCCCCUGGGGCCAUCCCCGCCCCCUUACCGCUGGGCCAUCUAUGCCCCCUCCUUCCCACCUCCCUUCUCCCAGCAGCAGCUGGACAUUAACUGUAACCCCAAACCCAGCUUCCUGCACCUCCCCAAACAGGGCUCCCUCCCGGACACUCCGCAUGGCCACGCUCAGCCCGACGCUAAUACCACCCCCCCUUACAUGAAAUCCUCCUUCUUUCUGACCCGAUACGACCUGCCCCCUGGCACUGCCCCCGCUAACCACCCCGCCUCCGCUCCCCUGCCAUGGGCUGCCUGUGCCUGUAGCCAAGAGAGAGGACCCAAGCUGACUAGUACCUUGAAGAACAAGGAGCUCUCUCCUGUGAUUGGGCAGAAGAUUGUCCAGGGGGCGUGUCCCAUGGGGAGUGCAGCCAAUAGCGGACAAGGGCAGCUCAACAACGACCAGAGCCCACACGCCCUUCGCACAGGGAGGAAGCUGGCCCCCAUCCCGCCCAAAGUCCCGUUUGUCCAGUCAGGCGGGGUGUCGGACCAGUCGACGGGUCAGCCGUCACCCGUCAGCCUGUCCCCAACCCCUCCUAGCACCCCGUCACCAUACGGGUUCAGCUACCCCCAGGGCUACGCCACCAUCGCUUCCCCAGGCCAGAGCAUCCCAGCCACACCCACCUCCCUGUCAUCUCCGCCCUCCCUAACGGGCACGCUUACCAAGUCGCGGCCCACCCCUAAGCCCCGGCAGCGGCCCAGCCUGCCCCCGCCCCAGCCCCCGACAGCCCCCGGCUCCAGCCCCCGUGCCCUGGACCACGGCCUGCUGGACGGGUUGUCCCCUGGAGAAAGCAUGUCCACAGGUGAGUCCGUCCCCGCGGCGUCUCCUAGCAACCGCCGAGCUGCUUGAUCUGACCCCCACAAGUGAAAGGCCUUCCAGGAAUGUUCUGUACAGCUUUCAGUGGAAGUUCAUUAUUUUGAACAAUCCAGAAAUAUCCUGCUGCACACAUUAUCUUUCAUGCCCUUUCCUCAGUCAACGGUUGUGUAUUCUUGCUUAUCUCUGUUUUUUUUAAAUGGGUGAAAACAUGAGCUUUGCCCAAAAUAUUUCCUGUUGUAUCUGUAUAUUACAGGUUGACUCAGAUGAAAGAUAUAAAUUCUUGAUCGAUGCCACCGAAUGCCUAGUGUUCUGUGCUCACAGAGGACAGCACUUUCAUCACUAAUACUCAUCUUGGGACUGAAUGUCGCCCGAUUUAUUCACGGGUUAGGGUUUGUAAAAACUCCCGAUGUUGCUAUAAUGAAUAAAAAAUGAUUCUUUAAGGGUUUUCAAAAACUUUUCAGUAUUCUAUUAAACAACACUAAAAUGAAAACUAAUUGAAAAAGUCCAAAAAAUAAAGUUAAACUGGUUCGAAAUUUUUUUAUUUUUUUUGAAAACGUGCCACUCGGCUGUCUAUAAAGCUUCUUUAGCAUAUAGUGUCUAUGAUGCAAUCGUCGUUAAUGGGUAUUGCGAAAUAGCAAAUAAAUAAUACAGUGCCCACCAUCCCAACACGGCUCCGCUGUUCUUUCUCAGUGCCGAAUUUUGGCAAGGGAGUGGUGACAGGUCUGUCCUCUGUACAUCCAUCUUGACUUGCUUUUAUACUGUUUUCAGCUAUUAAAAUUACUUUCCUCUGUCGAUUGCUGUUGUGUACCUGCAGCUGUAUGAGACGAGUCAUUCAGUGUGGGGGGGACUUUUAGGAAUCACUCCUGGACCUGGAACCCCCCACCAUAAAUGUUGAACUGGACGGCAAGUCUGAGGGCGCCCCCGGCGGGGACUCGGAGGCUGCAGUCGAUGCGACCGGCAAGGUUGAGUCCGAGGACGAGUCGGAGAGCACGGUCCUAUGACCCUGAGAGUCACCGCCAGCCCUUCUCAGCCCGUCCCGCUCACCCACAGCUUACCUGGACCACCACUCUGCCUCUUGCUCCUCCUCCUCUUCCUCCAUCAGUGUACAAAGUACUCUUUCAGGUGAACCGCCCCGUCCCCGUCUUGGAUCGGAACCGGCUUCCGUGCUGCUCCGCUUCUAUUCUACUGACGGCAAGGUCGAAAGAAUGCCUCUCUACUGAAUAUAGACUUUAAAACCACUUUGCAACUUUCAUUUGAACCACUUUCACUUUAGAUAUAUAUGUAUACAUAUAUAUAUAUGUAUGGCAUGGUAUUUUUUGAAGUUUACUUUUAUUUUUUCAUUUUUUUUAAUUUAGUUUUUUUUGCAUUUUUCAACUCUUUUGCCUCCCUGCCAUUAUGUUUCUGUGACUGGCGCUGCCCUCUGGAUCUGAGGCUGAUCUCGUCUCGCCCCGGACUCGCGGUGAGGGUGGAAGGCCAUAUAGAAACCUGCUGUGUACAGGCAGGGGGUGGAACAGGUUUGAAUGCAUUCGUGACAGGUGCCCACCCCCCCCUUUCCCAUGCAGCCCCCUUGCGCUGUCACUGUAGUGAUCACCGUGGUUAUUGCCUUUGCAUUUACAACGAUCGGUUAGCGUAGUGUGCCUCGGAUCCUCAUAGUGAGAUAGAUAGGUUUAAUAAUAUUACUUAGAUUAUAAAUGGCAUAUUUUAAAAAUAUAUUUUAAAUGUAUAUAAAUAUACUCAUAUAAAAGAGCACAUUUAUAAAUGUAAACAUACACUUUAAGGUCUGUCGAAGGGCACAUUUUUCAAAUGCGAGGCUCUGAGGUGUCUGAUGCACAAAAAUGGUAGUCGUGGUUCAGUGGGCGGGGUCUAUCAUUGCUCCACCCACCACGUCACGGUCUGCAGGUUCGUGAUUAACCCCAGGACCCGGAUUUAGCUAAGAUUUGCCUUGUGCCAGGUCACCCUCCGCCCUCUCCUCCCACCUGUACCCCUUCCCAUUGACUCAGGAAGCCAAAAGAAAAUGUGCAGACCAAUAUCAGAAUAUGAAACAGAAGGAAUUAUGAUAAUGCGUAAUAUAUAUAUGAAAGUAUAUCUUCAAAUAAAUACACAUAUAAUUAUUUAUUAUUUUUCCCAUUUAUGAUUUUUACAAAGACAGCGAGAUAGUAUUCUGACUGUGACAAGAUCCAUUGUGCCCACCUUUUGUGGUAGGAUGCAUCGAACCCGAUCUCCAGGGCCACGCCUUUUGUGGGAGGGGCUAGAUUGUCAAGGGGCGGGAUCAAGUCUCCUGCACCUCAUGCCCCUCCUCUUUACCUUUCCCACGGGGCACCUCAUGCCGGACCCCUGGACGCAAACGCACUGCCCGGAAGCCAUAACGCUUCUUCCUUCGCCCAUAAUUCCAAGUGCUAAAUAUUUCGCUUUCUACUGUAAAUACAGAAAUGCUGUACAGAAAGAUCUGUAUAUAUAUAUCCCUGGAUAAAUAAAUUAAAUACAGAAUAUAUAUAUAUAUACGCGUGUCAAGGUCAAUAUAGAUUCAGCAGAUUUGGAAACAUGUCACAAGCAUGUUCUGUGUUUUUAUCCUCACAUGAGGAACAUCGCAUUAUAUAAUACCAUAUUGCCGCUGUACCAUCUUGCCAGAUAGUCGCUGGCAAAUAUGAAAUGCGGUAAGUUUUUGAGCAGUUCCGAGCGAGCUUUAAUGGAUGAAUGAAGGUACGGCAAAGAUACAGACUUCUUGUUUUGUAGGUGCCACCCCCGCAUUCUGUUGAGUGCACGUAGGGGACACUCAUAUUUUGAGUAGACACCAGGUGUGGGAUACCAGCGUCAGCCGUAGCAUCACAAAGGCCUCACUCAUCAGGAUGUUUUAUAGGUCGUGUGGGGGGUCAGGAUGUGGGGAGGAGGCAUGUUGGGGGAGAGCUUUUAAGAAGGGUUUAACAUCCGGCUGUUCCCGUAUGUAUAUUCCCCCAUCAUGUUAAAAAGCAAUAAGGUUCAACGCUAGUCAAGGAAUGGAGGGCUUCACACCUAAAUGAGUAAAAUAUUAACAAAUCAAAGUGCAAUUACCAUAUUUAUUGAUCAAUGUAAACUCGGGUACGUGGCGAGGGCCAGAUUGGGAGAGAACCUCACUGGUCCGCUGUCCAACCACUCGAUCGGAUCAUUAUCACUCUUGAUUUUUCCUUUCAAAUGCGUCCUUUCGGCAGCAACGUUAUAUAGGCGACAUCGGUGUUUAUGGUGAUGAAAUGUAUCCUUUGUUUGGUGCCGGGUGUUUCCACAGUAACGGUUGGUUGUGUCGGUAACUGGUCUGUGAUGGUCCCUUAGCUGUUUUGUAAACAAGGGAUGUCUUUUUCUAAAGCGGAAAACCGUAAGCAUUUGAGUAUGUAUAUUUUUUGCUUGUUCUCAAUGGGGGUGAUUUUUAUAGCAGCUGCUAAGUCCUACUGUGAAGCGUAGGAGAAUUUCUCAGAGUUGACCAUGUUUUGUUUUUGUGACCGUGCCCGUUCGAAGGGAACGGUACCAGGCGUUUUCCAUGCCUAGGUGGACCGUAGCGGUAAACACUUGCUGCUGAUCAUCUUCCUCUGGUUGUCUGAGGGACAGCAGAUGGAGCAGCGUGUUGUUGGGGUAGGAGGACAUCUGGGUACAUCUGCUGGGGCGGGACUUGGAGUCAUAACUUCGUCCAAUGCGGAGCUGCAUUCAGGGGAGGCGGGACUUUUCCUGGCUGCUACAAUGAGCCAACCUAAGCAAUGGAGGUGCUGGUGUUCGCACGCUGCCUCCGACUUCAUCUAGCCAUCCAUUCAAUAUUGCACCGGUCCAUCUGAUGACGACGGCAUUCCUAGACCUUCUCUUAACUUAAUCGAUGGACAUCCUCCUACCUUUCCUAAUGCAACACAAAAAUAUAAAAUAAAAGCCGCCAUCGUGCUGCCGUCCUGCUGGGAGAUUUCUGUUGAACCCAAAAGUCCUGUUGCAUUUAAAAUGCAGCAAAUAACCAUAUUUUGCCAAACCCAAGGAAAUAAAGAGUUUUGACUGGAGGAAAACCUGAUGAUGCUGUACGUGUGGCUUGGUGAAGGGGGUGAAGAGCUACGGUUUGCAGACCAGUAGGUGGCGUAGUGGUUAAGGGAAGAACUUUGUAAGCUGAAAUAUGCCAGUUCAAGGCCCAGGCUGCAUUCUUCUUUACUAACUGAAAGGGUUCUUGUCCUCAUUCGCCCCACUGACAUAUCCAAUUGAUCAAAUGGGUGCAGUUGAUAUGAAUCGGAAAUUCUGAGUCAAAGUUUCUUCAAAUUCGUUGCAUCAUGAGAUAACUUCCUCUUAGUGUGACAAAUGUUUUACCGUUCAGAGCCCAUCCUGAGUCCCUAUCCUGGGACUGAACCAAUGUCAGCAUCGACAGGAUAAAUCCUGAGUCGCGACUGAGGCUGCGUGGGAUCAGCUCAGCGCAGCUGUAAUUCAAACUGGUUUUUGCGGCCAAUUAGUUGAUUCCAUCUAGCAAAGUGGGCAUUCACCUAUUGCUCUCAAUCAUGGGGGGAGAUGGAUUCCCCCCCCCCAAACCUGUGGCAGUAAGCUUUUCUUUCCUUUGUCACCUGUCUGCUCCACCCCCCACCCCCGUUGCCCAAAUAAGCACAUUACCUGAUUUACCUUUAUGUAUAUUUAAAAGGUGCAACACUGUGGUGCAUGCUGGGGCUGUGUUUUUUGCGCCCAACCAAGACGUUGUUAUUUCGUUUUGUUCUUAGAUUUGUGUUGAAGUUGGGGAAGAAAAAAAAAACGCGUCUGAUUGGUUGAGGGGGUCGAAGAGAAAUAGAGAAGGACUAAGACGAUAAGCUGGAGUGCUUUUAGAAUGCGCUCCGCACCACCAUGCUCCAGAUGCUCAGGAGCGUAGGGUCAGUUCCUGGAGGGGCUCAGAGCCAGGAGUGGUCACUCCCAUUAGACAAGGUCCCCUCCUCACCAUGCUGAUCCCUCCCAUGAACACAGCCCCGCCCCUUUGCUCCGCCUCCCGAGUGGAACCAAUUGUGUACUGUUCAAUCUGCAUCAAUCCUUAUCAGAAUGUCAAGACGAUUAAAUUUACGUUUUUAACAAGGGG